rnacentral:rRNA from 1 species
AACGAACGCUGGCGGCAGGCUUAACACAUGCAAGUCGAACGCAUCGCAAGAUGAGUGGCAGACGGGUGAGUAACGCGUGGGAAUCUACCCAUCUCUGCGGAAUAGCUCUGGGAAACUGGAAUUAAUACCGCAUACGCCCUACGGGGGAAAGAGUUAUCGGGGAUGGAUGAGCCCGCGUUGGAUUAGCUAGUUGGGGGGGUAAAGGCCUACCAAGGCGACGAUCCAUAGCUGGUCUGAGAGGAUGAUCAGCCACAUUGGGACUGAGACACGGCCCAAACUCCUACGGGAGGCAGCAGUGGGGAAUAUUGGACAAUGGGCGCAAGCCUGAUCCAGCCAUGCCGCGUGGGUGAUGAAGGCCUUAGGGUUGUAAAGCUCUUGCACCGAUGAAGAUAAUGACGGUAGUCGGAGAAGAAGCCCCGGCUAACUUCGUGCCAGCCGCCGCAGUAA